rnacentral:lncRNA from 1 species
UGAAACAGGCCGGAAAGUAUUUGCGUAGCACACGCGAUAUUCUCCUCUGAUCUCCUCCUAUUCCCCACAUAUUGCAAGUGGCAUGCACGAGUGGUGGGGGAACCCCUGCUGGACUGAAUCUUGAGCGAUGGGCGAUCUAUAGUGCUGCUUUUGCUUGACGCCAGCAGUAGCACCAUACAACAAGGAUCAUGCGCGGACCUAGCUUAUCAUCAUACACGGCGCGAGGCAUGGCAUGGCAUGGCAUGGGGGAGGUCGAUCUCACGCAUCAACCAAGCCUGCAACUAGCAAAAGAAAAAGGAAAAAAAAAAAGAGGAUGCCAAUGCAUGCCUACCGAUCGACGAUAUCCCUCUCUAGGCACCCGUGGUCCUCGAAUUAAUUGGAUAUGCCUGCAAUUACUUGAACCGUGUUGCGUGCAGCAUAGUAUUGCAAAGCAUAGUAUUGCAUAUAUCCGCCUUAAUUAUUCACGGGAUCUCCAAGAUUGGGGGCCGUGUCGCUCACACAUGCAUUGCCACACCGGAGAGGUCGAGAUUGUGCCGCCGUCCCUUCUUUCUAAUCAUUGUUACCGACACCUGAUCGCCACAUAAUUGUUCGGUCGUUCGUAGUGGGACGUUGCCAGCCCACCAACGUCCGUACCAGCAUGCAGAUGCGCGGGAAAAAGAGUACAAUCUGCGCAAACGUGAAUUUCAGUUAGGUGCGUCGUGUGAUUGGCAGGUACGUACUACCCCGCCUACCUACGCUACGCCACGUUGGCGAUUUCUUCAUGCACGAGCAGCACGACGACUGGACGUGCCACCUGCAGCGCCGUCGAACCGAACAACCUCGCGUCGCUCGUCGUCCAAACAUGCAUGCAAAAAAGAGAAAAGAGCCUGCGACCGACCUGCCAAUCUGCGAUGCGAGGCACGCACGUUUCCCAGGCGAGGAGGACCACACGUUACCUAAGGCGACAGGCCAUGCAUGGGGUUGGUUCGCGUCUGUCUGUCUGUGUGGCUCGUCGGCGCGCACGUUGUCCGCGCACCGCUCGGCGGCGCCCGUGCCCCGUACCAGUGGCAGGCAGUGUGUGCCCACUGCCCCAGUGGGCGGAACGGAGCCGGGAGCCGGGAGCCGGGCGCCGGCCGGCGGAUGGCGAUCCGCGCGAUGAAAAUGCCGCGCCGGUCCGUGUGCCUCGCUCGCGCUCUCGUUACCCGCCGCAGGCCACUACUUUGCUGGUCAAGUGGUCCUCCUCCGUCCUUUCCGAUCUCCUCCUUUCCUUCCCUGCCUCUUCUUUUUUCGGC